rnacentral:rRNA from 1 species
AUCGAACGCUGGCGGCAUGCCUAACACAUGCAAGUCGAACGAAGCCUUCGGGCUUAGUGGCGCACGGGUGCGUAACGCGUGGGAAUCUGCCUCUUGCUUCGGAAUAACAGUUAGAAAUGACUGCUAAUACCGGAUGAUGUCCCCCUGAGAGAUCUUGGGGACCAAAGAUUUAUCGGCAAGAGAUGAGCCCGCGUAGGAUUAGGUAGUUGGUGGGGUAAAGGCCUACCAAGCCGACGAUCCUUAGCUGGUCUGAGAGGAUGAUCAGCCACACUGGGACUGAGACACGGCCCAGACUCCUACGGGAGGCAGCAGUGGGGAAUAUUGGACAAUGGACGCAAGUCUGAUCCAGCAAUGCCGCGUGAGUGAUGAAGGCCUUAGGGUUGUAAAGCUCUUUUACCAGGGAUGAUAAUGACAGUACCUGGAGAAUAAGCUCCGGCUAACUCCGUGCCAGCCGCCGCAGUAAGAC